ACUUUGAAUUUAGUAUUUAACUGCACUUUAUUACCCGUCAGUCUGCACGCAUCCGUGCGCUCGUUGGUCGAGAAACAAAUUAUUCAACCGCCACUUUGCUUUUGGCCAAGCGCGCUUUUCCCACAGCUGUUUUACUUAAGCGAUAAAACGCAGCGACAACUAUCAGUCGCCUGGCUAUCGAUUUGACCCAGGGAGGGGAGCAACUAGCUCUGCCAAUCGAACUGGUUCCGAGCCGAAAUUCAAAAAUGUCAUCGCUUUUUACCGAUGCUCAACCCGAAUUUCUGUGUCGCCGCCGGAAGCAGUGAUUCACAUUGGGCUUGACACCCUGACAUCGAUUGUUCCAAGCCACCCAGGCGGAGAAUCCUUGCUGUUUCCUGAUGUACUUCGCACAGGCAAUGGAAUACCGGAUAUCGUCGCUCAACAGCAGGCGGCAGGGCAAGCGACACAGAUCGUUGGAUGGACGACCAUCCGCCGGCUUGCACCAGUAACGAUCGUUGAUCUGGAAGAGACCCCAGUCCACGGAUCCAUCAACGUUCGAGGGAUUGAUGGCUUUUGUGUUGAACGAGCUCUCGCCCUCCACGAGGCACAGCCAAUCGGGUAGCUCGUUGUAAGCCAUUCCGUAUCGAUACAGCUGCCGGGCCAAACUGCAUCUGCCCACCUGGCGGCCAGUGGCCAGUGAUAGCGUUAAGAGCACCAGCAGCCAAAUGGGCCACAUCUUCCAGAAACAAUGCAGGCUUCUAAUGGUAACUCGUGGCUUAUAUAGCCAUCCAGUUUGCUGCGAGAUUCGGAGCACAACUUGGCCCAAUCUAAUUUUUACAAGCACUCAUUUGGACAGCUCUGAAGUGUGGCCCACACUCGAGCAUAAAUUAUCAACACUAGGCGACAAAGAUUGGAAGUCAUAACCAUCUCCAAUUCUUUUAUUUUGUUGGAGCUAUUUCGGAAAGGCUAUUGCUCUGAGAAAUCAGUAGAUAUAUGGUUAUUUUAGGGUGUAGAACUAAAACUACAAUUCUCUAACUUAACUUAAAUCCCAAACAUGCAGAUGAGUGUCAGACUUUCAAUUCUCGAUCAUUGAAACAGGCCGAUCGGGCCAGUUUCGUUAAUAUAUGGAGUGGGAAUCGCUCGCCAUUUAAGCGAGGCAUCUGCCUGGCCCCAGAUUCACUUUCAAUGGGUUCUUUUGUGCGAUGCUCAGGUAUUAUAUAACCAUGUUGACAGCUGGAGGGGCCGGAGCACUUGAGAUCGCGUGUGCGCCAACAAUCGAACAAAAACCCCGAGAGA
ensembl:ncRNA asRNA:CR43898 antisense RNA:CR43898